UUUACCAUUCCCAACCGCCCAACCAACCCGGAUUCCAAGGGAAACGACCCCUCCAUCUCCGUCGUCGUCGUCGUUAGCAUGCAAAGCAAUGGCUGAGCUGGGAUUAUUGAUCUUGCCCUCACUGUUUUAAUUUCCUCUGGAUUUUUCCAAGCAGGGAAAAAGGACUGGCUGGGCUGCUGGAGUGAAAUAGCUUAAAAGGAGAGGAAAUGGAGUCUCCAAGGCCGAGAUCUUUGUCAUCUCCCGGGUACCCAAACUACUACCUCCUCUCUUUCUACGCUAUACAAUCGUCCAAAUAUCUGCGUAUAUAGUCUGCCACAUCCUGCGUGGCCUGAUGCAGGAUCAUUUGGCUCCUGGGAAAUACGUCUAUGCUCUGCGGAGGGGAUCGACUUUCCCCUCCUCACCAUCACCACCAUCACUUUCCUCCUACCACUUAUCUUUAAUAUCGUCAUGGCGUUUUUAUGCUCAUCUGCAUAAAUGGAUACGCUCCCGGGUAGAAAGUAGAGGGGGUCCCUACACACCGCUUAUAAAACCUAGGAUGGGAUGAGGAUGAUCAAAACUUGGGGUGUGGGAGAGAGGAAGAAUGGCGAGCAACCUAUAAAAAGUGGGUAGCUUUCUGAAAACAGCCAGCCAUGUUUCUCGGAUUGAGGAUGCGCCGAAAAAUGCGCCACGACAUCCUUCUUCGCAAAAGUCGUCAUCCUUUAUGUAGCUGCUGAAUCAAUACACAAGAUCUUCAAGG